UACGUAGGGGGCAAGCGUUGUCCGGAAUUAUUGGGCGUAAAGAGCGCGUAGGCGGUCCGGCAAGUCAGCUGUGAAAGUCAAGGGCUCAACCCUUGAAUGCCGGUUGAUACUGUCGGGCUAGAGUCCGGAAGAGGCGAGUGGAAUUCCCGGUGUAGCGGUGAAAUGCGCAGAUAUCGGGAGGAACACCAAUGGCGAAGGCAGCUCGCUGGGACGGUACUGACGCUGAGACGCGAAAGCGUGGGGAGCAAACAGG
rnacentral:rRNA from 1 species